CCUACGGGAGGCAGCAGUGAGGAAUAUUGGUCAAUGGACGAGAGUCUGAACCAGCCAAGUAGCGUGAAGGAUGACUGCCCUAUGGGUUGUAAACUUCUUUUAUAAAGGAAUAAAACGAGGCACGUGUGCCUUUUUGCAUGUACUUUAUGAAUAAGGAUCGGCUAACUCCGUGCCAGCAGCCGCGGUAAUACGGAGGAUCCGAGCGUUAUCCGGAUUUAUUGGGUUUAAAGGGAGCGUAGAUGGGUUGUUAAGUCAGUUGUGAAAGUUUGCGGCUCAACCGUAAAAUUGCAAUUGAUACUGGCAGUCUUGAGUACAGUUGAGGUAGGCGGAAUUCGUGGUGUAGCGGUGGAAUGCUUAGAUAUCACGAAGAACCCCGAUUGCGAAGGCAGCUUACUAAACUGUGACUGACAUUGAUGCUCGAAAGUGUGGGUAUCAAACAGGAUGAGAUACCCUAGUAGUC
rnacentral:rRNA from 1 species